UACGUAGGUGGCAAGCGUUGUCCGGAUUUACUGGGCGUAAAGAGCGCGCAGGCGGUCGAAUAAGUCGAAUGUGAAAGCCCCGGCUCAACUGGGGAGGGUCAUUCGAUACUGCUCGACUUGAAGGCAGGAGAGGGUAGUGGAAUUCCCGGUGUAGUGGUGAAAUGCGUAGAUAUCGGGAGGAACACCAGUGGCGAAGGCGACUACCUGGCCUGUUCUUGACGCUGAGGCGCGAAAGCUGGGGGAGCAAACGGGG
rnacentral:rRNA from 1 species